UACGUAGGGUGCAAGCGUUGCCCGGAUUUAUUGGGCGUAAAGGGCGCGUAGGCGGCUCGGCACGUCCGUUGUGAAAUCGCCCGGCUCAACUGGGCGGGGUCAGCGGAUACGGCCGAGCUUGAGCAAGCUAGGGGGCAAUGGAAUUCCCGGUGUAGUGGUGGAAUGCGUAGAUAUCAGGAGGAACACCGGUGGCGAAGGCGGGUCUCUGGGCAGUAACUGACGCUGAGGAGCGAAAGCGUGGGGAGCGAACAGG
rnacentral:rRNA from 1 species